GUUUCCGUAGUGUAGUGGUUAUCACUAUAUUGCGCUUUACACGCGCAAGGUCCCCAGUUCAAACCUGGGCGGAAACA